ensembl:misc_RNA 7SK 7SK RNA
GGAUGUGAGGGCUGUCUGGCUGUGACAUGUCACCCCAUUGAUUGCCAGGGUUGAUUUGGCUGAUCUGGCUGGCUAGGUGGGUGUCCCUGUACUCCCUCACCACUCCAUGUGCAUCCCUUCCAAAACUGCGGGCUCGAUAGAAGAGGACGACCUUCCCCGAUAGAGGAGGACUGUUCUUCGGUCAAGGGGAUAGGAGUAGUUGCGCUCCCCUGCUAGAACUUCCAAACAAGCUUUCAAGGUCCAUUUGUAGGAGAACAUAGGAAAAAAAAAAGAAUUAAUGAAUUUGAAUGUUUACUAUAUGCUGGGUGCUGUACUAAAUGCUUAA